rnacentral:lncRNA from 1 species
AUUUUGCUCACAGAUCAUUAUUAACAUUCUGUAUAUAAUUCAAUUUUAUUUUCUCUCCCCUUUUUUAUUAUUUUUAUUUUUAGCUGAAAAGACGUAAAGGCAGUCAGCCCAGUGGUGUUUCUGGAGAGGGAUUCCUUCAGAAAUGGAGAAGACAGAAAGCUGCGGAGGCAGAUAUAUGCAGCAGUCUAAAAUAUCGAGCUCAACAGCUAUUUGAAGAGCCAACCCUCACAAACCUUCCUAAAAACUAAAAGAGCUAUUACUGAGUCUCAGCGAAUCUUGCCAUGAUCAGCUCUUCCCAGGUACAUUUGUUUAGAAUAUUUUUUUAAUCAACAUUUACUCAUCAAAUGCUCUGGUCUGAAUCUUACUUUAAAUUAACUUAAUUAUGUUUAAUGAGCAACAUUAAUUGCACACAGAGUAAGUAGAGAUUAUCUUGUUUCACAGAAGAGAAGGAAGACC